rnacentral:tRNA from 1 species
GUCCGAUUAGCUCAGUUGGUAGAGCGUUCGCUCGACAUGCGAAAGGCCACAAGUUCGAACCUUGUAUCGGGCA